rnacentral:ncRNA from 1 species
UUUUUACUUGAUAUACACAUGCAAGCAUCCACCUCCCUGUGAAAACGCCCUUUAACCCCCACUAGGAACAAGGAGCCGGUAUCAGGCACGAAAAAUCUGCCCAAAACACCUAGCUUUGCCACACCCACAAGGGAAUUCAGCAGUGAUUAACAUUGAGUAUUAGCGCAAGCUUGACUCAGUUAAAGUAAAAUGGAGCCGGCUAAUCUGGUGCCAGCCGCCGCGGUUACACCACGUGGCUCAAAUUGACCCCCAUCCGGCGUAAAGCGUGAUUAAAGUUUUUAUACACUAGAGCUAAACCAAAACCGAGCUGUGACACGCCCGUUAAUCAAAAACUCAAAAACGAAAGUUGCUCUAAUACAACCAACUUGAAUUCACGACAGCUGGGAAACAAACUGGGAUUAGAUACCCCACUAUGCCCAGCCAUAAACUUUUAUUUACACCCCCUAUAAUCGCCAGGGAACUACGAGCUAAGCUUAAAACCCAAGGGACUUGACGGUACCCCAUAUCCACCUAGAGGAGCCUGUCCUAUAAUCGAUAAUCCACGUUAAACCUCACCAUUUUUAGUCAAUCAGCCUGUAUACCUCCGUCGUCAGCUUACCACGUGAGCGCCAAUUAGUGAGCCUAAUGUUAUUUCACCAACACGUCAGGUCAAGGUGCAGCAAAUGAAAUGGGAAGAGAUGGGCUACACUUUCUAUAUUAGAAAAUACGAAAAACUACUUAUGAAACUUAGUUAGAAGGCGGAUUUAGCAGUAAAGAGGAGUCAGCAUAUCCAUUUUAACCAGGCACUGGGGUGUGUACACACCGCCCGUCACCCUCUUCAAAGCUAUAAACAAAGUCAUUAACCUAUUAAAGCCCAAUAGAAGAGGCAAGUCGUAACAUGGUAAGUAUACCGGAAGGUGUGCUUGGAAA